CCUACGGGGGACAGCAGUGAGGAAUAUUGGUCAAUGGCCGGAAGGCUGAACCAGCCAUGCCGCGUGAAGGGCAGGGGCCUAGGGGCGGUAAACUUCUUUUGUGCGGGAGCAAGAAUGGUCACGUGGGGCCAGACGAGAGGACCGUACGAAUAAGCAGCGGCUAACUCCGUGCCAGCAGCCGCGGUAAGACGGGGGAUGCAAGCGUUAUCCGGAUUUAGUGGGGUUAACGGGUGCGUAGGCUGUGAGGUAAGUCAGCGGGGAAAUGCCCCCGCUCAACGGGGUGAAGUGCCAUUGAUACUGCCUUGCUGGACUGCGGAUGCCGUGGGCGGCCUG
rnacentral:rRNA from 1 species